CAGAGGUAACUGUCUCUAUGUCUCCUUGACAUUUAAGGUGGUCCUUUCCCGUCUGAGAUGAUUGCCAAGUGUGCACACAGCAGAUGCAAGCUGGUCUUCUAACAGGAGUAAAAGGGGGAAAUGCCCGGCACCCAACCUUUUGGGAAGGAUGGAUUCUUACAGUUGGAUAAAUAUUCCUAAAAGAAAGAAGUAAAUAUUUCCAAAGAAAACUAUUACCAAGAAGCAAGGAUGUUAAGAAAUAUUACUGAGAAGAAACUGAGAAGGAAAGAUUUGCUCUUUUGGAACACGAACAAUGAUACUGAUCCAAGCGGCUCCUGGAAAGGGCUUGGCACACGUGGAAAACUAAGACCAUAUUCCUGGAUCAAGAACCAAGAGUGGCACAUCUCCAUUCUGGAUCUGACACCUGAAAG